UUUCAGCAACUGACGAAGGGUAUGGGAAGAAGGUUGGUAAGCAGAUAUUCUGAGACCUGUGGAAGUCUAACAUGACCUUGGGGAAGAAUUGGACAUCUGUUCGUAGGACCAGUUGAAGACAAAUCUUUUGAGGAUACCAUGGGCAGCCAGGAAAAGAAACAAAUGGGCCCUAGAACAAAUCAAUCCAGAAUUUUCACUUGAAGCACAAAUGACUAGGCUCAAACUAUCAUACUUUGGACACAUUAUGCGAAGACCCAGUUCCCCUGAGAAGUCCGUAAUGCUGGGAAAAGUUGAAGGCAAGAGAAAAGGACGACCAGCAGCAAGGUGGAUGGACUCGACCACCACAGCAAUGAAUGCACUGAGAGACCUUAAAGGCCAAGUUGAAGACAGAUCAUCCUGGAGAGAAUCUAUCUAUGUGGUCACAAAGAGUCAACACCAACUUGAUGGCACAUAAUCAAAUCAGUCAGGAUCUGGAGUAUGAGGGAGAUGCCUGACUAACUGACUUUGUUGUUCUGUACAGUUUCUGUAUCUCUCAAUCGUCUCAUUAGUCCUUUCUCUAAAAUGUGCUUGUCUAUCAAAGGGCAGGUUCACAGUUCAUGUACGUGCCUUUGGAGUAAGGCCAGAAGAGCAUAGCCAAGCAUGGUUUCGGAGAAUGAUGCAACUUGCCAUAUUCCGUGCUGCGCAGUCCAUUGCAUGUCUCAAAUAGCAAGAUCACAAAUGACAAUGAAAUUGGAAGAAAAUAGGAAAUAUAAUGAAAUAGGAAGAAAAUCCCAGUAACUGUCUGACAGCAUUUAGAUAUUUAUAUCGGAACUGACUCCUACAUGGACUUUCAGAUGCUGUAAGAAAACUGCAAAGAAAGAGCACCUGCUACUCCUCCUCCCCAGUGCUUGUGCAUCAAACUAAAGCAGCCAAGUACCUUAAUUCAGCACUGCAGGACCUCAAGGUAUGGGGAUCCUCACCUGACUCAAAAUUGGAAGAAC